rnacentral:rRNA from 1 species
GCACAUUUGUUUGCUUUUUCGCUAUCGAUUAUUAUUCGAUAAUUGAAUUCAAAUCCUUUUUGGGAGCGCUUGGAAGUUCGAGGCUCGUCCUUAAAUAGUGUUUAUAGUAACUCAUUCUGUCUUUCCUAUGGGCUACACCUUGACCUGAUUUGUUAGGAAGUUGUUGAGAACAUGUUUUAUGGAACUAUUCUUGAAACGGCGGUAUAUAGGCUUGAUAAGAAAAGUGGGAUUUAUCGUGGAUUAUCGAUUAUGGAACAAGUUCCUCUGAUUAGAGCUAAUGCCGCCAAACUACAUUGGUUUUCCUGGGGGGUACUACCUAAUGGGAAAGGUG